rnacentral:lncRNA from 1 species
CUCCAACACUGCAGAUGUGUUUUUUGUGUGAGAAAGGUGAAUACAAUGUUAAUAAUAAAAAUCGACGUUCCCAUAUAGUAAGAGCAGACUUCCCAGGGUUUCUUCAGACACAUUCUGUAAGAUACAUCAGCAGACCCAGACUGCUGUCCAUUUACUGUCAAAGUCACAUGUAAACAUGUUCCUGUUUUGUAAAGAACCACUUACAACCAAGGAGAAGUAAGGAAUACUGAGACUUUGGAAAUACGGCUCAUGCACAUAAUUCCACAUAAUUGUUAAAUGCAAAGAAUAAUACCUACAUUAUGUAUCAUUGUAUCAGUGAUAUAUGCAUUGUGCAUUGUAUAUCUAUCAAUGGUAUAGCUAAUACCCAUUUACUUUCUACUUAAAAAUGAAAUAAAACAUAAAAUUGUAUUAAAAUCACUACAUUGCCUGUGAUAUUAAUAUAUCUAAUUGUAUAUAUUAAUAUCACAGGCAAUUGUAUUGUAUUGGAAUAUAUUAGCAAAACACUCCCAAAUCAAUUGCAUCUAUUUUUAAAGUCACAAAAUAUCUAUAUUAUGAUAUACAUUGAAAUGUAUAAGUAAAUUAGAAAGAACUAAAGGAAGAUCUUAACCUAGCCAUAUAUUGUAUUUUAAAAUUGUGCUGCCCGUAAAGUGAAAGUGCUAGUUGUGAAGGCAGCAUUACACACAAAGUAGUUUACUGUAUGUAAUGACCUGACCUCAUUAUCAAGCAGCAGUUCAUGAUUUGGGAUUUCUCAUGACAAUGCAUCGAGAAGAGACUGAACAGACAGACAUGAUGCAAGCAACUUGGAAAUGUUAACCCAGACCUUUCCAAAUUUUCAUAUCCCUUGAAAAAUAUAUACAGUAUAUAUAUAAAAAAGCUUUCUGCAUUCAGAUGAAAAC